rnacentral:rRNA from 1 species
CCUACGGGAGGCAGCAGUGGGGAAUAUUGCACAAUGGGGGAAACCCUGAUGCAGCGACGCCGCGUGAGUGAAGAAGUAUCUCGGUACGUAAAGCUCUAUCAGCAGGGAAGAAAAUGACGGUACCUGACUAAGAAGCCCCGGCUAACUACGUGCAAGCAGCCGCGGGAAUACGUAGGGGGCAAGCGUGAGCCGGAUUGACGGGGUGUAAAGGGAGCGUCGACGCCAGCACAAGUCUGGAGUGAAAUCCCGGGGCUUAACCCCGGAACUGCUUUGGAAACUGUGCGGCUGGAGUGCAGGAGGGGUAAGCGGAAUUCCUAGUGUAGCGGUGAAUUGCGUAGAUAUUAGGAGGAACACCGGUGGCGAAGGCGGCUUACUGGACUGUAACUGACGUUGAGGCUCGAAAGCGUGGGGAGCACACAGGAUUAGAUACCCCUGUAGUC